UACGUAGGGUGCAAGCGUUAAUCGGAAUUACUGGGCGUAAAGCGUGCGCAGGCGGCUUUGCAAGACAGAUGUGAAAUCCCCGGGCUUAACCUGGGAACUGCAUUUGUGACUGCAUGGCUGGAGUGCGGCAGAGGGGGAUGGAAUUCCGCGUGUAGCAGUGAAAUGCGUAGAUAUGCGGAGGAACACCGAUGGCAAAGGCAAUCCCCUGGGCCUGCACUGACGCUCAUGCACGAAAGCGUGGGGAGCAAACAGG
rnacentral:rRNA from 1 species